UGGGGAGUAUUGGACAAUGGGGGCAACCCUGAUCCGGCAAUGCCGCGUGUGUGAAGAAGGCCUUAGGGUUGUAAAGCACUUUAGGCUGGGAAGAAGGUGAGUAGUUUAAGAGAUGACUCAUUUGACUGUACCGGCAGAAGAAGCCCCGGCUAACUUCGUGCCAGCAGCCGCGGUAAUACGUAGGUGGCAAGCGUUGUCCGGAUUUAUUGGGUUUAAAGGGUGCGUAGGCGGUUCUUUAAGUCAGUGGUGAAAUACGGCAGGUCAACUGUCGAGGUGCCAUUGAUACUGGGGAACUUGAGUACUGAUGAGGUAGGCGGAAUGGACGGUGUAGCGGUGAAAUGCUUAGAUAUCGUCCAGAACACCGAUAGCGAAGGCAGCUUACUAAGGAGUAACUGACGCUGAGGCACGAAAGUGUGGGGAUCAAAC
rnacentral:rRNA from 1 species